GACGAACGCUGGCGGCGUGCUUAACACAUGCAAGUCGAACGGAAAGGCCCUGCUCUUGUGGGGCGCUCGAGUGGCGAACGGGUGAGUAACACGUGAGUAACCUGCCCUUGACUUUGGGAUAACUUCAGGAAACUGGGGCUAAUACCGGAUAGGAGCUCCUGCUGCAUGGUGGGGGUUGGAAAGUUUCGGCGGUUGGGGAUGGACUCGCGGCUUAUCAGCUUGUUGGUGGGGUAGUGGCUUACCAAGGCUUUGACGGGUAGCCGGCCUGAGAGGGUGACCGGCCACAUUGGGACUGAGAUACGGCGCAGACUCCUACGGGAGGCAGCAGUGGGGAAUAUUGCACAAUGGGCGGAAGCCUGAUGCAGCAACGCCGCGUGCGGGAUGACGGCCUUCGGGUUAUGAACCGCUUUCGCCUGUGACGAAGCGUGAGUGACGGUAAUGGGUAAAGAAGCACCGGCUAACUACGUG
rnacentral:rRNA from 1 species